rnacentral:tRNA from 1 species
AGGAUUAUAUUUAAUUAUAAUAUUUGAUUUGCAUUCAAAAGGUAUCCAAGGAUUAAUCUUA